rnacentral:rRNA from 1 species
AUUGAACGCUGGCGGCAUGCUUUACACAUGCAAGUCGAGCGGUAACAGGCCGCAAGGUGCUGACGAGUGGCGAACGGGUGAGUAAUGCAUCGGAACGUGCCCAGUCGUGGGGGAUAACUACUCGAAAGAGUAGCUAAUACCGCAUACGAUCUAUGGAUGAAAGCGGGGGACCGUAAGGCCUCGCGCGAUUGGAGCGGCCGAUGUCAGAUUAGGUAGUUGGUGGGGUAAAGGCUCACCAAGCCAACGAUCUGUAGCUGGUCUGAGAGGACAACCAGCCACACUGGGACUGAGACACGGCCCAGACUCCUACGGGAGGCAGCAGUGGGGAAUUUUGGACAAUGGGCGCAAGCCCGAUCCAGCAAUGCCGCGUGCAGGAAGAAGGCCUUCGGGUUGUAAACUGCUUUUGUACGGAACGAAACGGCUCUGGUUAAUACCCGGGGCUAAUGACGGUACCGGAAGAAUAAGCACCGGCUAACUACGUG